rnacentral:rRNA from 1 species
GUCUAUGGCCAUACCACCCUGAACACGCCCUAUCUCGUCUGAUCUCGGAAGCUAAGCAGGGUCGGGCCUGGUUAGUACUUGGUUGGGAGAUUUUAUUUUAUUUUAUCUGUGUAUCUUUAUUUU